rnacentral:lncRNA from 10 species
AUAUGUCUGAAAUGUCACAGCAUUCUUUGUAGCCACUAUAAAGGCCACUGUCCAGAUGACUUUGAUGUGUGGCAUUUCCUUCUCAACACCAAGUUUCUGGCAUCACUGGACCAGAAAUAAUCAUGGAGACAUCCACAUCAGCUCCUCAGCAGCUAAGUCUCAAAUAGAGACGGGGUUUCACCGUGUUAGCCAGGAUGGUCUCGAUCUCCUGACCUCGUGAUCCACCCGCCUCGGCCUCCCAAAGUGCUGGGAUUACAAGCGUGAGCCACCAUGCCCAGCCCAAAGUAAGUCUUUUAAUUCCCAGUCUUGGACCACUGUGCAAGACUAAUCGCAAAGUCCCAUGCAAUGCAAAGGGGCUAGGAAAUGUAGUUUCCCUAACUACAAAAAGGUGAAGAGAACUGGUGACAUUGAAUUCUAAUAAUAAUAAUGUUUACCUCAAAACUCCAUCAAAAUAAGACAAGUUUAACUUGAAACUGCACCUGUCUGUACUGGGUUGAAUAAUAUUCCUCAAAAUUUAUGUCUACCAGGAACUUCAGUGUAGGAUCUUUCUGGGA